rnacentral:rRNA from 1 species
CCUACGGGAGGCAGCAGUGGGGAAUUUUGGACAAUGGGCGCAAGCCUGAUCCAGCAAUGCCGCGUGCAGGAUGAAGGCCUUCGGGUUGUAAACUGCUUUUGUACGGAACGAAACGGUGAGCUCUAAUACAGUUUGCUAAUGACGGUACCGUAAGAAUAAGCACCGGCUAACUACGUGCCAGCAGCCGCGGUAAUACGUAGGGUGCGAGCGUUAAUCGGAAUUACUGGGCGUAAAGCGUGCGCAGGCGGUGAUGUAAGACAGAUGUGAAAUCCCCGGGCUCAACCUGGGACCUGCAUUUGUGACUGCAUCGCUAGAGUACGGUAGAGGGGGAUGGAAUUCCGCGUGUAGCAGUGAAAUGCGUAGAUAUGCGGAGGAACACCGAUGGCGAAGGCAAUCCCCUGGACCUGUACUGACGCUCAUGCACGAAAGCGUGGGGAGCAAACAGGAUUAGAUACCCUGGUAGUCCACGCCCUAAACGAUGUCAACUGGUUGUUGGGUCUUCACUGACUCAGUAACGAAGCUAACGCGUGAAGUUGACCGCCUGGGGAGUACGGCCGCAAGGUUGAAACUCAAAUGAAUUGACGG